AGUACAUGGUGCUCUGGAGCCGGGCCUUUCACACCAAGCGGCAGGCUGAGCUGCAAUGCCAACUUCACACACAUGCAAAAAAGAGAAGAUGAAAGUGUGUGUGAGUGUUGGGCAACAGGGUAAAUCAACUGAGAGUGGCAGGUGGGACAUAAAAUGUUGGGAGGUCUCGAGCCCAGGACAUCAAAAGGAUGCAUCAUGAGUGAGUCACCCCCACCGGCUCCAGAUCUCUGCCCUGCAUCAUGAAAACAGAGCGGCUGUGCAUUAAACAGUCAUUGGUGGCGAUGAGAAUGGAAAGUGGGAUACGACCGGUCACAGAGGAAUGUAAUCAAAGUGCAUUUUAUUAUGUUUUACAGAGGGUCCACAGGACUCUGCAGCCCUUACCGCACACGUCAUUCCUCUCAGUCACUGUUUGUGUGAUGACUGCCAGCUUUGAUUCUGGAGUUAGUGUGUGUGUGUGUUCAGAUGGGUGAGCGCACAUUCCUCUCAUUCAUUGCAUGAGUGUUCUGCAUGCCUGCAUGCUUUUGAAUGUUUGGGUGAGAGAAUGUCAGACUGGACUUAUGUUUGUGGCAUUGAUCAUACCUUUGGGACCUUCAAAGUAUGUUUUGACACACUUUUUAGCCAACUGUAUAAAGAACUAAAGUGUAUGUAAAAAUGUGGGUCCCUUUUCCAAAAUGUUGAUGUUUCUUUUGGUGCAAAUCCACAAAAUUCUUUCAUCACUGUUCCUACUUGCCUGCGUUGGUCAGUCCGAGGUUAAAACCUUUGGAAAUCUGGCCUGAAAUAAAGAUACAGAUGAUAUUAUGUAAAGUUCAGUGUCUCAAUAAAAAUUCCCCACUGGCUUACAUCUGACACUGAUAAAACCUCU